rnacentral:tRNA from 1 species
GGUUGUAGCUCAGUGGUAGAGCACUUGCCUGGCAUGUGUGAGGCACUGGGUUCAAUUCUCAGCACCA